rnacentral:rRNA from 1 species
UACGGAGGGUGCAAGCGUUAAUCGGAAUUACUGGGCGUAAAGGGUGCGUAGGUGGUUUGGUAAGUUAUCUGUGAAAUUCCUGGGCUUAACCUGGGGUGGUCAGAUAAAACUGCUGGACUCGAGUAUGGGAGAGGGUAGUGGAAUUUCCGGUGUAGCGGUGAAAUGCGUAGAGAUCGGAAGGAACACCAGUGGCGAAGGCGGCUACCUGGCCCAAUACUGACACUGAGGCACGAAAGCGUGGGGAGCAAACAGG